rnacentral:rRNA from 1 species
UACGGAGGGUGCAAGCGUUGUCCGGAUUUAUUGGGUUUAAAGGGUGCGUAGGCGGUCUGGUAAGUCGGCGGUGAAAGCCCAGGGCUCAACCCUGGAACUGCCAUCGAUACUGUCGGACUUGAGUACGGGUGAGGCUGGCGGAAUGGGCGGUGUAGCGGUGAAAUGCGCAGAUAUCAGGAAGAACACCCGUGGCGAAAGCGGCUCUCUGGAACGGUACUGACGCUGAGACGCGAAAGCGUGGGGAGCGAACAGG